rnacentral:tRNA from 1 species
AAAUUAGAAAGCGAAGAAUUGCAUUUAGUUUCGACCUAAACUUUGGUGGUACCUCUAAUU